rnacentral:lncRNA from 1 species
UUGAGGAAGAGUGGCUGGGGCACAGCAUCUCUCCGGCCUCGAACUAUUUCUCCCCUGGGGUGGUGUUUCCCAGUUACCCUCCUCUGACUCCAUGGCCUCCUCCUUGUCUGGACCCUUCAGCCUCCCAGUCCAGUUCCUGGGCAGCACGGGCACUGUGGAAAGCAGGACCCCUCAGUGAGACACGCGUCUGGGAAGUGCAUGACC